rnacentral:rRNA from 1 species
UUUUUCCUACGGGGGGCAGCAGUGAGGAAUGUUGGUCAAUGGGCUUACGCCUGAACCAGCCACGUCGCGUGAGGGAAGACUGCCCUAUGGGUUGUAAACCUCUUUUGUCAGGGAGCAACGCCGGCUACGUGUAGCCGGACUGAGAGUACCUGAAGAAAAAGCAUCGGCUAACUCCGUGCCAGCAGCCGCGGUAAUACGUAGGUGGCAAGCGUUAUCCGGAUUUAUUGGGUGUAAAGGGCGUGUAGGCGGGAAUGCAAGUCAGAUGUGAAAACUAUGGGCUCAACCCAUAGCCUGCAUUUGAAACU